rnacentral:rRNA from 1 species
CGGCGAGUGAAGCGGCAAUAGCUCAAAUUUGAAAGCUGGCGCCUUCGGCGUCCGCGUUGUAAUUUGUAGAGGAUGCUUCGGCGAGGACUCCUGCCUAAGUUCCCUGGAAUGGGACGUCACAGAGGGUGAGAAUCCCGUAUGUGGCGGGCGGUCCAAGCCAUGUGAAGCUCCUUCGACGAGUCGAGUUGUUUGGGAAUGCAGCUCUAAAUGGGAGGUAAAUUUCUUCUAAAGCUAAAUACCGGCCAGAGACCGAUAGCGCACAAGUAGAGUGAUCGAAAGAUGAAAAGCACUUUGGAAAGAGAGUUAAAAAGUACGUGAAAUUGUUGAAAGGGAAGCGCUUGCAACCAGACUCGCUCGCAGUUGCUCAGCCCGCCUCUUGGUGGGUGUACUCUUCUGCGAUCGGGCCAGCAUCAGUUCGGGCGGCUGGAUAAAGGUGUCGGGAAUGUAGCACCCUUCGGGGUGUGUUAUAGCCCGGCGCGGAAUGCAGCCAGCCUGGACUGAGGAUCUCGCUUCGGCAAGGAUGCUGGCGUAAUGGUUGUAAGCGGCCCGUCUUGAAACACGGACCAAGGAGUCUAACAUCUAUGCGAGUGUUUGGGUGUCAAACCCAUGCGCGUAAUGAAAGUGAACGGAGGUGGGAACCCGCAAGGGUGCACCAUCGACCGAUCCUGAUGUCUUCGGAUGGAUUUGAGUAAGAGCAUAGCUGUUGGGACCCGAAAGAUGGUGAACUAUGCCUGAAUAGGGUGAAGCCAGAGGAAACUCUGGUGGAGGCUCGCAGCGGUUCUGACGUGCAAAUCGAUCGUCAAAUUUGGGUAUAGGGGCGAAAG